ACUCAACACUAACAAAUUAAAAUGGGUAAAUCAUCGUUACUAAAGCAAGCUGCCUCCGAGCAGAUCCUUGAACAACGAGUUAGCCCAAAACUUGUCAUUUACGAGUUU
rnacentral:sRNA from 1 species